CGAAAGCGUGGGUAGCGAACGGGAUUAGAUACCCCGGUAGUCCACGCUGUAAACGAUGUGAACGAGGUGUGGGCAGUGUAGAAGCCGUCUGUGCCGGAGCAAACGCGAUAAGUUCACCGCCUGGGGAGUACGGUCGCAAGGCUAAAACCCAAAGGAAUUGACGGGGGCCCGCACAAGCAGCGGAGCGUGUGGUUUAAUUCGAUGCAACGCGAAGAACCUUACCUGGGCUUGACAUGUACGUAGUAGUGAAGGGAAACCGGAACGAGCCUUCGGGCAGCGUAGACAGGUGCUGCAUGGCUGUCGUCAGCUCGUGUCGUGAGAUGUUGGGUUAAGUCCCGCAACGAGCGCAACCCGUGUUGCUAGUUACAAGUGUCUAGCGAGACUGCCGGUAACAAGCCGGAGGAAGGUGCGGAUGAUGUCAAGUCAGCAUGGCCUAUAUGUCCAGGGCUACACACACGCUACAAUGGCUGGUACAAAGAGAAGCGAAAGGGAGACCUGAAGCGAAUCUCAUCAAAGCCAGUCAUAGUUCGGAUUGCAGGCUGCAACUCGCCUGCAUGAAGUCGGAGUUGCUAGUAACCGCAGGUCAGUAAUACUGCGGUGAAUACGUUCCCGGGCCUUGUACACAC
rnacentral:rRNA from 1 species